GACGAACGCUGGCGGCGUGCUUAACACAUGCAAGUCGAACGGAAAGGCCCUGCUUUUGUGGGGUGCUCGAGUGGCGAACGGGUGAGUAACACGUGAGUAACCUGCCCUUGACUUUGGGAUAACUUCAGGAAACUGGGGCUAAUACCGGAUAGGAGCUCCUGCUGCAUGGUGGGGGUUGGAAAGUUUCGGCGGUUGGGGAUGGACUCGCGGCUUAUCAGCUUGUUUGUGGGGUAGUGGCUUACCAAGGCUUUGACGGGUAGCCGGCCUGAGAGGGUGACCGGCCACAUUGGGACUGAGAUAGGGACCAGACUCCUACGGGAGGCAGAAGUGGGGAAUAUUGCACAAUGGGCGGAAGCCUGAUGCAGCAACGCCGCGUGCGGGAUGACGGCCUUCGGGUUGUAAACCGCUUUCGCCUGUGACGAAGCGUGAAUGACGGUAAUGGGUAAAGAAGCACCGGCUAACUACGUG
rnacentral:rRNA from 1 species